AUUGAACGCUGGCGGCAUGCUUUACACAUGCAAGUCGAACGGUAACAGGCCGCAAGGUGCUGACGAGUGGCGAACGGGUGAGUAAUGCAUCGGAACGUGCCCAAUCGUGGGGGAUAACGUAGCGAAAGUUACGCUAAUACCGCAUACGAUCUACGGAUGAAAGCGGGGGAUCACAAGACCUCGCGCGAAUGGAGCGGCCGAUGUCAGAUUAGGUAGUUGGUGGGGUAAAGGCUCACCAAGCCAACGAUCUGUAGCUGGUCUGAGAGGACGACCAGCCACACUGGGACUGAGACACGGCCCAGACUCCUACGGGAGGCAGCAGUGGGGAAUUUUGGACAAUGGGCGCAAGCCUGAUCCAGCCAUUCCGCGUGCAGGAUGAAGGCCUUCGGGUUGUAAACUGCUUUUGUACGGAACGAAACGGUUCUCUCUAAUACAGGGGGCUAAUGACGGUACCGUAAGAAUAAGCACCGGCUAACUACGUGCCAGCCGCCGCGGUAAAAC
rnacentral:rRNA from 1 species